CCGUUCCUUCCUUUCUUGGUUGCUUGUUCGAGAGACAUGGACGUCCAUAAGGUCAAGAGGUCGGGCUUGUGCUUGUUGUUGCUCAUGGCAUUCCUGUUGCUUCCUGCAGGGUCUGAAGGUGAAGGUGAAGGUGGGACUUGCACAACGUUCAGCAAGACCUACUCCCACCCUUUUUGUGUGCCUUUACCUUGCCACAGGGGCGGAGCCAGAAAAUUUAGUUGAUGGGUUCAUUAAAGAGAGGAUUUGGUCUAAUUAAUUCAAUGUAAAGUCCAAUUUCACACCACCUUACAUCAAAUAUAUAGUAGUCCCCUUCAAGGAAGAACAAAAAAUAUAGCACUAAAAAUACAUUAAAGAGAGAAACAUAAUAUCACUUGUGUUAUUUCA